rnacentral:rRNA from 1 species
GCAAGCUUGAGUCUCGUAGAGGGGGGUAGAAUUCCAGGUGUAGCGGUGAAAUGCGUAGAGAUCUGGAGGAAUACCGGUGGCGAAGGCGGCCCCCUGGACGAAGACUGACGCUCAGGUGCGAAAGCGUGGGGAGCAAACAGGAUUAGAUACCCUGGUAGUCCACGCCGUAAACGAUGUCGACUUGGAGGUUGUGCCCUUGAGGCGUGGCUUCCGGAGCUAACGCGUUAAGUCGACCGCCUGGGGAGUACGGCCGCAAGGUUAAAACUCAAAUGAAUUGACGGGGGCCCGCACAAGCGGUGGAGCAUGUGGUUUAAUUCGAUG